ACAGAAAAUUCAAUAGGUCAUGUAUUUCAGGAACCUUAACAGUCGUAUCACGUCAAUAUGCUCGUGCUAAGUCGGCCCACUCACCAGGUUCAGCUUGCUUUCUGGUUUCCAAAACAGCAGUAAAUAUUUACUUACCUUAUUCAUCUUUGUUAGAUUCUCAGUCCCCUGGGAAGAGGAGUAGUCCCUUUCAAACAAUUCUUUAUUAGCCCUGAGCUGCUGUGGGAGGGAGGUUGAGUAGGAAAUCAGAACCAAUUUUGAAUGAUGACCUUUAGAUUUACAGGUGGAACUCUUGAAAGUGUUUGACAGUAGGAAAUUUUACAAGCUAAAACAGUGCUAUCGAAUGAAGGAAUGAAUAAUUUGGCCUGGAUCAUACAAAUAAGAUUUCAGUAUUCAAGGAUCUCCAGUUUCAGAUCAUUCUCACUGAUAACUCAAUAAAACAAAUGCAGAUACAGUCUGUACAAACAUUUCUCAAAUAUGACCUUGUAGAUAAUUUGGGGUGACACAUGAUUCCCAUUUAAGAAAUACAGGACAUUCUGAACAGACUGGAGAGUAUGAAGGGCAGUCACAGUCAGAGAUCCAUGUUUUUACCCUCUGUUUCUGUUUCCUUAACUGAUAUGAUAACGAUAGAAAUGUCUGUUAAGGUAAUGAGGUUCUGUGCACUUGGACUAUAAUUUAACUCUGCAUCAGUGACAUGAGGAACAUGUUCAACUGUUAGAAGAAGGAUGAAAUAGAAUACAAAGUGGAGUAAAUUAAAAAUAUGAAUCUGGAAUCAUUGAUUACAUUCUUGUUACAUGAUUAAAAUAAUGCUAAGUGAUACCAGUAAUUACUGAGCUGGAAAAUUCAGGGAUUGCCUAAUCCUUUUUCAGUUCAUGAAGUUUACC